rnacentral:rRNA from 1 species
CCUACGGGAGGCUGCAGUGGGGAAUAUUGCACAAUGGGGGAAACCCUGAUGCAGCGACGCCGCGUGAGUGAAGAAGUAUCUCGGUACGUAAAGCUCUAUCAGCAGGGAAGAAAAUGACGGUACCUGACUAAGAAGCCCCGGCUAACUACGUGCCAGCAGCCGCGGUAAUACGUAGGGGGCAAGCGUUAUCCGGAUUUACUGGGUGUAAAGGGAGCGUAGACGGCGGAACAAGUCUGGAGUGAAAUCCCGGGGCUUAACCCCGGAACUGCUUUGGAAACUGUGCGGCUGGAGUGCAGGAGGGGUAAGCGGAAUGCCUAGUGGAGCGGUGAAAUGCGUAGAUAUUAGGAGGAACACCGGUGGCGAAGGCGGCUUACGGGACUGUAACGGACGUUGAGGCUCGAAAGCGUGGGGAGCAAACAGGAUUAGAUACCCGGGUAGUC